AAUCCAUAGGUUAAUGAGGCGAACCGGGGGAACUGAAACAUCUAAGUACCCCGAGGAAAAGAAAUCAACCGAGAUUCCCCCAGUAGCGGCGAGCGAACGGGGAGGAGCCCAGAGCCUGAAUCAGCAUGUGUGUUAGUGGAAGCGUCUGGAAAGGCGCGCGAUACAGGGUGACAGCCCCGUACACAAAAGCGCAUGUGCUGUGAGCUCGAUGAGUAGGGCGGGACACGUGGUAUCCUGUCUGAAUAUGGGGGGACCAUCCUCCAAGGCUAAAUACUCCUGACUGACCGAUAGUGAACCAGUACCGUGAGGGAAAGGCGAAAAGAACCC
rnacentral:rRNA from 4 species